ACCUACGCCCCCUGGUCCGGACUAAGGAUGCGUUCACGGUCUGUCGGUUAAAAAAUAUAAGGUUGUUUAUUUGUUUAAAUUCCAAUAAAAGCUGCUAUAGUAUUUUUAUUUUAUCAGUACUUCAAUAUCAGCUUGUAGUACAUUUCACUCACUGUUACAGAGCAAAUUUCGUAUCGUAAAAAUCAAACACAAGCGAAAAAUCUAGCAUUUAGUCGUGUUCUCCAGUUGCAUUUCAUAUAACUCUCAAUCACAAGUAUGAUUGUUGUAUAUUUAAACAUAAUAAAAUAUAAAUUAUCACAAUGGUCGUAACAACUACUUUAAUGCCGCCAGCAUGACCUGAAAGUAAGGUUCAUGGCUGGUUAGCGGUAUUUUCUCAAAUGUAUGUCUUAAAUACCAUUUUUUGCAUGUAUUUGAAUGCGGCGUCAACCAGCAGCACGCAGUGACUGACGUCGCAGCACGGGCGUGGACCGAGGCGGCGGGUGCAUCGUGGAAAGUAGGUGGCAGGCAGCUUGGGUAAUGAUGGGGGAAGGAGCUGAGGAUGGAAGGCGUGUUGAGUAAAGAACAGUUUGAGCUCAAGAACGUGGCUGAGCGGCGCAGGGCUCUAAUCCAGUUUCACGAAGAGCCACCACAUCCCUCGACAAGAUCGCCAGCCUACUUUCCCAACUGUUUUUAUCCAUAAGUUGCAGACACUAGAUGUCUCUCUUCUCUGAUGCUUUCCUUUCAUAACUGUAGUUGUUUGUCUUGGGGGGUGUUGGAUGAAUUAGCUUUUAAUAAAUUAGAGUCCACACUGGUUGUGUGGUUUAUUGAUUUAUGGUUAUAGUGUGUGUAUUUGUGUGGGAGUGUGUAUCCUCUAAUCCAAGCAAAUCUAUCUUAUUGUUGAAGAAGGGGUAGAGUAGCAUAAACACGUCUAAUUCACAGGACUCUAAUAACAGUGAUUGUUUCAGGUUUUGUGGUGCUAUAUUAUUGUAUAACCCUGUGUUCUUGUUAUUUUACCCGCUCAUUUAUAAUUUGUGUAUGCUAUGACUGCAGAAAACCUGCCAGAAUUCACUCUGUUUAACUUUCUGGCAAUAAACUGGACUUUCUCUUCAUGUGUGACUCAUGUUUUAUCUCUGUCCAAAUUAAUGGGGGUAUAAGUAAACCUCAUUUUCAUUUGUGGCACCAAUGCUCUGUCAAUUGAUUGGCCCAGUGAAUGUUUGUAGCUCCAGCAUGCAAGGUAUUUCCUGAUUGGUUGAUGUGAGCACUAUGGGUCACUGUGGAAGCCCACGUACAAGUGUGGUCAUUCAGUGGCUGUGAACACUGCUUGGUUUUCAUCUCGCUUACAUGUGGAGGCUUGGAAGCAGCCAGACCUGUAGUGACUUGGGGUUACUAUGGCUAUGUCUUUGUUACUGCUGAGGUGUCUGCAUGUUACCCCCUUUUUUCUUCUCUUACAUGGUGAGUUUUUGGCUUUUGUUAUCAGGUGUAUUCAUUCUUUUUGAGUCAUUUAAUUUUCCAUUGAAAGUAGAGAUGACUAAGAAUCAACAUUGCUUAGUGAUGAGCAUUUUUUUUUGUCAUUUUGAUCUUAUUUUCUAUGUAGUAGGUGAUUGCUUUCAGACAGAACCAAAUCCCUGUGAUUCAAGUUGUGCUGGGUUUUCUGCUCCCGACUUGUCCUAUCAGAGAGGGGUGAGGUAUACUUAUAGGUAUAGCACGACAAUUACCACAACUCUUCACGGCUCCAGUUCUGGCAGAAAUGGACUGGCUUUGGAUUGUGUGGUUGAUAUCGACGUGGUUUCCAAGUGUCACUUAAUGAUGCAGAUUAGGAAUCCACAGAUAAAGAGGCUUUCCCCUCAGAAGGAACACUCGGUGCAGCGCUUAAAAAGCUUGAGGUAAUAUUCAGUAGAUUACGUGCACUUUGAUGAGUUUUUUAAAGGCUGGUGAAUGAAUGGAUGCAUG